ACGCGUACGCGCCAGCCCUCCACCAGAUAGCAGCGCCCCCAGAAAAAGCCAGAUAGCAGCGCCGCCCCCAAAUCGACGCCCAAAUCCUUCGUCCGCUCCACCAGAUCGCCGCCACCGCCGCCGCCGCUGCCCCCCACCAGACCACCGCCGCCGCCGCCCUCAGCCAUCCCCACCGCCGUCGCCGCCCCCAGCCAUCCCACCGCCGCCGACCUCCCUCCAUCCCGAGCAGUACCGCCGUCGCCCUGCAUGCCGAGCACCCAAGUGACCGCAGCCGCCAAUCACUCCAGGUCGGGGCCGUCGGCCGCCCUCCACCCAGACCAUUGCCGUCGUCGGCAACGGAAAGCGCAAGAGGAAGCAGUGCCUUCCCAAGGGUCCACCAUGGCAUCGUGCUCCUCUUCUCCGCGGCCGUUCACGCUGGCGAGCAUGGGGGGCUCCCGACCACGCCCUCCUCCCCGAUGGCGGCGAGCACGGUGCCUCUCCACUUAGAUCCGUGCCGGUGGAAACCCGAUGCAGGUGAGAUUUUCCUUGCCAAUGUAGUGAAUCUCUCUUUCUGCUCGAUGAGAACUGACGGUGGGUAUUGUCCAGUUGUAAGUACGAAGCCAGAUUUCCCCUCCCUCCUACAUCCCCCAUCCACCGAGUUAGUAAUUCUUCCGUAUUGCUGUUUUUUUCUUUUGCUGCCAAAUUGAUGGAGGUGCUAUUAGUGAAAGGAUUGGAGACUGGUUCUAGCAGUGGUAGAUUUUUCGAGAAUUUCCUAGUGCUCGUGAUUUGCAAAGGGUUUCAGCCAAGUUAGUGUACGUGUACCCUCCUAUGAUUAGUAAAAUUUCGUGUGUCUGUAUCCACCCUUUUUAGGUACAUGGAUCCAUCUUUUUUUACUCAGGUUCAGACAUUGCACAACUGAAGACAUUUGUUAUAUAGCUCGAGAAAGUUUACUCACUAUGGCUAACUGUUAUUCCAGGAUAAUAUGCAAUGUUAAGUGCAAUUAUUUUCCUCAUGCUACCACAAUUUUUGCCAACAUUAAUUUUUCAGCUGCUUGAUAGAAUCAUGGAAGGAACAUACAGUGCAGUACGAGACGAGGGAUGGUCUGAUGAUGUUGUCGAGAUGAGUAUGGUGCUCAUACUGUUAUCAUUUUGUAUUCAGAAUCUUUGAUGUUAAAUGGUGGGGUGUUAAAUGUAGCCCUCGAUAAAAAAUGGAGAUUAUACUACCAUAGUUAGCUCCACCGUAGAAAGUAACAUAACCAGCCUGAAGUAUGUGUAUAUCUAUUACUCUUUAAUAGUACAUGAGCUUUUGAACCUAGGAAGUCAUUGCCUCAGAGUUAUGCCUGCUUAGAUUAAUGGUUGCUAUGCUAACAAGAUACAGUGAAAAUUAACUUUGUUUCGAAUACAGUGAGUAUAUGACCUUAUAACUGUUUAUGAUUAGAAUUAGCAAGGUCCCUUUACCCUCUUAAUGUGUUUACACUUCCUCUAAUGAAAUAAUAUGCUGUCUAUGAACCUUAACAAUCGUCAUCUCAGCUAAACAUAAAAGGAAGAAGGCCCACCAGAUUUGUUCGUAGUGCACAUUGUUUUUUUCUACAAAAUAUUGGAGUAUCUGGAUCACAAAUCUGACCUGUAAAAAUGUUCAAACUUAUCGAUAUUUUAUUCUAGAAAUUUUAAAGACAAUGAAUGCAAUUUUUUAACUUAACCUGGCUUCCUGUUUUUUGUCCUGUGAAUAAAAACAAAGCUUCACUACAAGCCGAUUUUCUGGUGAAUGAAUUAAACUCAAGGUCUCUAGCAAAGGAAUCAAGUUUUUCACCUUUUGUUGGAACUUGUGAUUUUGAACAUCAUUUUAUUUAUUGCCAAGGAUCACCGUGACACCUAUGGUUGUAUGCUCUUCUCAUAUCUUUAUUAUUUUCAAGAUUACUAUAUAGUACACGAACUACCCUGUUUCAUUGGUUCAGUUUAUCGUCAUUCAUGUUAGGAUUUUCUCUUGGCUUCCUGGUUCUUCUUUUCUUUGGCGAACUUGAACAACUCUAUUAAUGUGUCAAAACAUAAAGUCUUCCUGUACAAGGCUACAUAUGUGUAAUCAGGUAUGCUAUAUAUCACCUUUCAUUCUUUUCCAAACGUUCUGCUGUAUGACUUCUUUUAAGAACAAAUUAUUCAACUCAGUGGACCUUGAAUAGUUGAAUGUCUGAUAUAACUUCACAAUGACCUUUCUUACUCUGGUUAUAUUUUUCCAUUUGUACCACAGUAAGGCACCUCACUUUCUGAUUUCUGAGUCAAAUGCUUUACCUGAUGUCGGGUUCUCUCUUCAGACAUACAUGAAACAGUUCUUCACAAGAUCAUGAUUGUAUACAUAUAAAAAAAAUCUUCUCAUAUCUUAUUUGGCCCCUCUACAGCGUAUGUAAAAAGUUGUCGGUGGUCCGCCACGCCUCUGCCUGCUAGUACUGGAAUCAUGAUACUACUUUGUGAUCUGAUUGGUGAAAGGGUAUUUUGUACGGUUCUCUCAUAUCCGACUUGUCUUUUUCUCUGUAUAUAAAGUAGCAUUGAAAAUGUUCUUUUAUUUCCUCUGACCUCUCAGAAGCUCACACCUGAAUAUCAUGAUAUAUGCCUUUAAGAAAACUCUGUAUGUUCUUUUGAGUUAAACCAAACACCAAACAUUUUAGUUUCUAUACUUCUGUCAGUUAAUGCUGGAAAAAUGUUUGAAUUUUUUUUGUUGUACUAGUUGCCUUUGUGUGCUCAUACAAAAAUACUAGAUCCUAUGAUGUCAAAAAUUCAUACAGGUUGUGGAUGACCCUUCUUUUUUCUCGAAUGUUGUUCCUAUUGUCUUAUGUGCAGUUUUUUCAAACAGAGUUUGAUGAGUCUUCACUAUCAGGAAACUAAACUUAAUAUUAGAGGCAAUCACACCAUGCCAUUACGGGUUUAAUUAUUUGUCCAGACCUGAAACUGUUGUCAUGCUUUCCAGGAAGGGCAACUAGAUGUGCUUAAUUCAUGUGCCCGGGCUUGAAACCGCGGACAUUUUUUAGCUUUUUAUUAAAUAGAAUAUUCACUCGAUGCCUUGAAGGGAAAUUUGUUGAGAAAAUGUUGGGCGGUGCAUCUUUGUAGAUUUUGAGUAUCGUAAUAAAUGUAAUGGAUAUAAUGUUUUCUAAUACAUGACUUGUGAUUUGAUGUCUUCCUGUCCAGGUUGAAAAUGUUCCUGUAAGAUUCGUUAAGACGCCUUGCCGUAACCAUAUGCUCUGAGCUCACACAGAAGAACUUACAGGCUUUACUCUUUGUGUUUGUUACAUCUUGUACUGUCGGAUGUCUAGAGACUAAAGAUGCUAAAUUAUGAGGGAAGUCUUCAUGUGUAAUCAAUGAAUUGAAAACAUUGUAAAAUGUUUGAUGAUCAGAAUUUAUAAUAUAUAUGCGAUGUGCAUCUGCAUAAUCUUUUUGCUUUA